rnacentral:rRNA from 1 species
GACGAACGCUGGCGGCGUGCUUAACACAUGCAAGUCGAACGGAAAGGCCCUGCUUUUGUGGGGUGCUCGAGUGGCGAACGGGUGAGUAACACGUGAGUAACCUGCCCUUGACUUUGGGAUAACUUCAGGAAACUGGGGCUAAUACCGGAUAGGAGCUCCUGCUGCAUGGUGGGGGUUGGAAAGAUUCGGCGGUUGGGGAUGGACUCGCGGCAUAUCAGCUUGUUGGUGGGGUAGUGGCUUACCAAGGCUUUGACGGGUAGCCGGCCUGAGAGGGUGACCGGCCACAUUGGGACUGAGAUACGGCCCAGACUCCUACGGGAGGCAGCAGUGGGGAAUAUUGCACAAUGGGCGGAAGCCUGAUGCAGCAACGCCGCGUGCGGGAUGACGGCCUUCGGGUUGUAAACCGCUUUCGCCUGUGACGAAGCGUGAGUGACGGUAAUGGGUAAAGAAGCACCGGCUAACUACGUG